rnacentral:rRNA from 1 species
AUGGCUAUGUUCGCGACGUCGACGGCGGCAGUGUUGGGAUCGGCUCGCCCAGGGCGGGCGGCCGAGCCUCGAUGGUGCGUGGUGGCGCGGGCGUCCUCGACGAUGGCGGCGCCGGCAGCGGUGGCCAUUGGGAGGACGCACUACGAGGUGCUCGGGGUGGGCGUGGGAGCCAGCAGGGGGGAGAUCAAGGCGGCGUACCGGCGUCUGGCCAGGGAGGUGCAUCCGGACGCUGCUGGUGGUGGGGGCGACGAGGGGUUCAUCCGGCUGCACGCGGCCUACGCCACGCUCGUUGACCCCGACGAGCGCGCUCGCUACGACCGGGACGUGGCUUGGCGCGCCGCGGGGAUGAUGACGCGGCGGGCGGCCGCGGCUGGGCCGUCGUUCCGGCGGAGGACGUGGGAGACCGACCAGUGCUGGUAG